GCCGGCCGGGUGACCCCGGCCCCUUGGGGCUCCCGCGCUCCGUCAGCAGGCGACGCUGGGAGGCUGGGGUAGGCCCAGAGCGAGGACGGGCCCGGACUGGGUAGUGGGGAUGUACCAGGGCCGGGUGCGGCGGGAGACGGCCCGGGAGGCGGAAGGUCGCGGACCUGCCCGACAGAAGAGUAGAUGAGGGGAGACCGAGGACGCCCGGGUCCGGGGAGCUUACGAGGAGGCCAGGAUCGCGGGGUCUUAAGAUAUGAAGACAAUGGGAUAACUGAGGCUGAUUUUGCUGUGUGGCCAUUAGACCUAGAAAUAUUGGUGUGAUUCUGGAGUUGAUUGCUCCACACGUUUAUUUAUUUAUUUUCCUUUUUUUCCCUCCUCUUCCUCCUCCUCUAUUCUUUAAAAACGUAUGGAAAUGUAUCCGGCAAUGUUUACUGUAAAAAAUAAUGUAUGGAAAUGACUACAAUUUGCUAAAAUAAAAAUCAUUGAGCACUUA
ensembl:lncRNA CPLANE1-AS1 CPLANE1 antisense RNA 1